rnacentral:rRNA from 1 species
ACGGAGGAUACAAGCGGUGUCCGGAUUUACUGGGAAUAAAGGGUACGUAGGCGGCCUUGUGCGUCAGAGGUGAAAUCUCCGGGCUUAACCCCGAGGGUGCCUUUGAUACUGCACAACUUGAGUCCGGGAGAGGGUGGCGGAAUUCCAGGUGUAGGAGUGAAAUCCGUAGAUAUCUGGAGGAACAUCAGUGGCGAAGGCGGCCACCUGGACCGGUAUUGACGCUGAGGUGCGAAAGCGUGGGGAGCAAACAG